GCAAAGACAGAAUAGAAGAUGGGAACAGGUCGAUGGUACAAAGGUUUAGAUCUCAACUGACCCAUCUCAAACGGAGAGGAAUUUCGAAUUGUGGCAGGUGCUGCCUCCACCUGGUAACGGUGGGCUGAAAUACUAUGGUUGUGAGCAGUAAAUUCGACCAAAUCAUCUGCUCCACAGAAGCCAUCAGCGCCUCGACCGGACAGUGACAUAGAUGAUCCACAGAUACUUCAUGUACACAGCAAAAGAUUUGGAAGAGUGGUCAGAAAAUCAUGAUUCCUUUCGCCACGAGCAGAAUUUGGUUCAGUGGACUUAGAAAAAACGGCCAUAUGUUGAAGCCCUUUUCAUCGUGGUUGUGAGUCUAUUGAAUGCUUUAAUGCUCAAAUUAUCAUGUGUCCCUUCAGCUUUUAGCUCCAAUUGUUUUUGUUCUUCGUGAAGCUAUGUCUGUUUGGAAGAUCAAAAUUAUUUUAGGCGUGUGCUAUUUCUUCUGUUCCCGAUCCUUCCUACAUAUUGUAGCCACUUGUGGUUCCAUUUUCAUGCUUCCUAUGUACAACGUGGGUGCACAUAUCGCUUAUCUUGGUAACCAAUGGUGUCGGUAAGGAUUUUGUCAUCAACAAUGGUGCAUGCUCUUGUUCCACAGUCGUACUGGAAGACGGGAUCUCGCUGACGGAGGUAGGAGGGCUGCUGCAGGAGUGGGAUGGCAGGGAAGAGCCAGCAGGACAGCAUGCCCUGGAGGACAGCCUCGCAUCCGAGGAUCUGGGGAGCAUGCUAGAGUCCAUCAAAGUGGAGAGGGCCAAAUAUUCACUGAUGUGCUUUCAGUUCCCUGUUGGACGUAUCCACCGUCAGCUGAAGCAAAGGACUCAGGCAAAUGGUCGUGUUGGUGCCACCGCAGCCGUCUACUCAGCUGCCAUCCUGGAGUACUUGACUGCCGAGGUUCUGGAGCUGGCUGGGAAUGCUAGCAAGGAUCUGAAGGUGAAGCAUAUCACCCCUCACCAUUUGCAGCUAGCUAUUCAUGGAGACGAGGAGCUGGACACUCUCACCAAGGGCACCAUCGCAGGCGGAGGUGUCAUACCGCACAUUCACAAGUCCCUGAUCAACAAGUCAUCCAAGGAGUGAAGACUAGGGGAUGUGCAUCUUUAGUUUAAACUGGACUUCUGUGCGCUCCUGAGCGAGUCCUUGUACCGUAGGUUUUAGUUGAGAUGUUAGGUUGGAGCUCCUUUGUGUAACGCUUGCCUGGUACUGCUUCAUUAGUUAUUUGGUUAUUGUGUUUGUGUUGAGUUGUUAACUUCAGGGGUGCAAACCUGGUUGCUUAUUUAGUUAUGUGACUACUGCUAUUCGGUUUA